CGAGCGUAGUCCAACACAAUUGUUGUGUCUGUGCGUGAAUGUGAGACUUUUGAGUUGAAAGUUUUUCGAACCCGCAGACAGUGAAAAGUAGAAAUUCCAAGCCUAACAAGCGGUUACUUCACAGAAAAGAACAUCAUGCCGACUCCUGGCAUAACAAGUAAUGAUGCUCACCAGGUUUUGAUAUCGCACUCCCCGAUUGACUGGACUACAUUUUGCAGUGAGGAACAACUACUUCCGGGUCAUUUCAUAAACGAAAAUCCAAAAGUCAAAAAACGGAGGGAGGAAGGCGGAAACGGUUAUCAUGAUCAAUAG
rnacentral:lncRNA from 1 species